GACGUAGGGCGCGAGCGUUGUCCGGAUUUAUUGGGCGUAAAGAGCUCGUAGGCGGCUUGUCGCGUCGGCUGUGAAAACCCGCGGCUCAACUGUGGGCGGGCAGCUGAUACGGGCAGGCUGGAGUUCGGUAGGGGAGACUGGAAUUCCUGGUGUAGCGGUGAAAUGCGCAGAUAUCAGGAAGAACACCCGUGGCUAAGGCGGCUCUCUAGUACGGUACUGACGCUGAGACGCGAAAGCGUGGGGAGCGAACAGG
rnacentral:rRNA from 1 species